AUGUACAACAACUUUCCCCACAACUGUGAUGCUUUAUCCUUUGACAUUAAAAAUGCUGUUUGCAGAAGUAACAUUCCUUUGAACACUCAACUUUCUGAAAUUGUGUCCCACCGCAAGGACUCACAUAGGACCAAUGCAUUGGAUGAUAACUGGUACAUCGUCAAGGGACAGAAGUGUCAACAGGUAAGUUCCAAUGUAAUUGCAGGAAAGAUAGAUGUUUGUCCAAUGUAAUUGCAGGAAAGAUAGAUUUAAGACUCAUGGAUUUGUGAUGUGAUUGGACUAUAAGAGGAAUCUAUUUGACAUUCCACAUUGCAAAUAGCCAGGGAUAAAGGAUAUAAUGUUGAGCUCUUUUGUUUUUAAAUCAGUGAAUGCCUUAAAAACAAAAGAAAUGAACCCUUUAAUCUAUGGAAUACAAGGGUCUAUCAACUAAAUGAUGACCACAGUUGGAAAGGUAGACAAAUCUAAGAUGCAAUUCCCACAAAAUUUUCCUGGGAAGAAAAUAAUGAAAUAUAAAAUAAAAUAUAAAAUAAUAAAAACAGUGUAUAUAUACAUGUAUGUAUCUACAAAUGUAUAGUACAUACAUGUAAAUUCAGUGCUAUAUUGUGCAACAUAGGCAAUUAAUAUUUUUGAUGUUCAACGGAAGUAUGUGCAUUGGAAUAGUUCCUUUGAGGAAGUAGCACUGCAACCAGAUCUUUGAAGAGGAAUAGAAAUUGAAUGGGAGGGGCAGGCAUAGGAGGAAGAUGAUUGGACAUUCCCAUCAGAAGAAAACCAAUAUAGCACAAAGUACAGCCAUUUGCCUUUUGAGGAAAGGUUGGAGCAUACACCUGGUCAAGAUUACCUUUGGGAGUAUGUUGGGUGAGGAGGG
rnacentral:lncRNA from 1 species